rnacentral:rRNA from 1 species
CACUUGAUGGGGUAAGGCUCCCAGUAGAUGACUGGGUUGAUAGGCCAGAUAUGGAAGCGCCGUAAGGUGUGGAGUUGACUGGUACUAAUAGGCCGAGGGCUUGUCCUC